GAUGAACGCUGGCGGCGUGCCUAAUACAUGCAAGUCGAGCGAACAGACGAGGAGCUUGCUCCUCUGACGUUAGCGGCGGACGGGUGAGUAACACGUGGAUAACCUACCUAUAAGACUGGGAUAACUUCGGGAAACCGGAGCUAAUACCGGAUAACAUGUUGAACCGCAUGGUUCAACAGUGAAAGACGGUCUUGCUGUCACUUAUAGAUGGAUCCGCGCCGCAUUAGCUAGUUGGUAAGGUAACGGCUUACCAAGGCAACGAUGCGUAGCCGACCUGAGAGGGUGAUAGGCCACACUGGAACUGAGACACGGUCCAGACUCCUACGGGAGGCAGCAGUAGGGAAUCUUCCGCAAUGGGCGAAAGCCUGACGGAGCAACGCCGAGUGAGUGAAGAAGGUCUUCGGAUCGUAAAACUCUGUUAUUAGGGAAGAACAAAUGUGUAAGUAACUAUGCACGUCUUGACGGUACCUAAUCAGAAAGCCACGGCUAACUACGUG
rnacentral:rRNA from 1 species